rnacentral:rRNA from 1 species
UACGAAGGGGGCUAGCGUUGCUCGGAAUCACUGGGCGUAAAGGGGGCGAAGGGGGGUUUUUAAGUAAGGGGGGAAAUCCUGGAGCUCAACUCCAGAACUGCCUUUGAUACUGAGGAUCUUGAGUUCGGGAGAGGUGAGUGGAACUGCGAGUGUAGAGGUGAAAUUCGUAGAUAUUCGCAAGAACACCAGUGGCGAAGGCGGCUCACUGGCCCGAUACUGACGCUGAGGCACGAAAGCGUGGGGAGCAAACAGG